rnacentral:rRNA from 1 species
CGAAUCGCAUGGCCUUGCGCCGGCGAUGGUUCAUUCAAAUUUCUUCCCUAUCAACUUUCGAUGUUUGGGUAUUGGCCAAACAUGGUCGCAACGGGUAACGGAGGGUUAGGGCUCGACCCCGGAGAAGGAGCCUGAGAAACGGCUACUACAUCCAAGGAAGGCAGCAGGCGCGCAAAUUACCCAAUCCCGACUCGGGGAGGUAGUGACAAUAAAU